UGAUAAUUACCAAGGCUUUUAGAAUGCAGUUUCUCAUUUGCUAUAGACAUGACCACAAAAUAUUUUCCCACUAGGUUUUUUUUCUGCUAUAUUGCUAGCAUUUAGCCUAUUGGGAACAUUU